rnacentral:misc_RNA from 1 species
UCUGCACGCACGUCCAUCACACGGCAGCGGCACCCAGCACUCGUUGUCCCCACCUCCACCCCACAAGCGACUGAAACACACACACCCACAAGCACGCGAAACUCCACCUGCUUUAUAUAUCAGUGUUCUGUCGAGGAGAUGAAGUUUGCGGACGCCGUGCAGUGCAUCGGGAAGGAGUCCCUCUGCUUCCACCCAGAGCUCAACGUCUUCGUGAACUACCCCGUGUUGAUUGGGUGCCACAUUGGCUACCUCGUCGUCAUCAUCUUGCUCUACAAAUUCAUGGAGGGGCGCACGGCGUACGUGCUAAAGUACCCCAUGAUGCUGUACAACACGGCACAGGUGGCGCUGUCGUUGGCGAUGGCGAUCAACCUCGGUCAGUUCCUCGUCUAUGGCGUCUUCAACUUGAACGGGCGCUUCACCGCCACCAUCGAGUACUGGAUUUUCGUUCACUACGCCACAAAGUUUCUCGAUAUGUUCGACACGUACUUCAUUGUGCUGCGCAAGAAAGAAGAGCAGCUGUCCUUCCUGCACAUCUACCACCACUUGACGAUCGGCUUCAUCUGGGGCCUGCUGCUGCAUCACGGCGUCGCGAACGGCACCGCCUUCUUUGGCGCGUGGAUCAACUCCGCUGUCCACGCGCUCAUGUACUUCCAUUACCUGUACACCUCCCUCGGCUACACGAACCCGCUCAAGAAGUACCUGACGCAGGUGCAGAUGGCCCAGUUUGCGUUUUGCAUCCUGCACGCGGUGCUGGCCGUCGUGGCGCACUCGCCGAUCCCCAAAAAGUGGGCGGUGCUGCAGCUGUGCUACCACAUGACGCUGCUGUACCUCUUCAUGCAGUUCUACCGAAAGAACAUGCGCAAGCUGAAGCGCAAGGCGAAGGCGUAGGCGACGUCCGGAGAAGGGGCGAGGAGGGAGAGAAGAAGGGGAGAGCGCAGUGCACACGCAUAACGAACGGUCGAUUAUGCUGGUGUCGUUGCUUCUUUUGAGCUUCGUGCGGAAGCAACGGUGUACGUCUGCUACGAUGGCCACCUCCGGCCACAAGUACCCACCCCGGGGAACGGCCUCCGCCUGCCUCCCUCCCCCUCCUCGGGAGUUGUUGUGUUUUACUUUUUAAGCAGGGUAUUGUAGUGUCUCCACCACCACCACCACCACCCCACCCACUCUCUUGUCGCCGUAUGGGAGGUGAAUGGAGGGGAGCAGCGUGAUGGCCGAGAUCACUGUCGCUACACACAUCCUUAGACGCACAGACACACAGGCACGAACAUUCCCACGUACACAUACUUGCCGAAAGACGACUGUGGCUAUCCUCCAUCUCCAUAUGUGUUUCUGCUGCGGUGAGUUGCUGCUCUUUGCCUCACCCUCCUCCUUGCACCAUCGCAGUAGCUAGCGCAUG